rnacentral:rRNA from 1 species
GACGGAGGAUGCAAGCGUUAUCCGGAAUGAUUGGGCGUAAAGCGUCCGCAGGCGGCAGUUCAAGUCUGCUGUCAAAGACCGGGGCUUAACUUCGGAAAGGCAGUGGAAACUGAACAGCUAGAGUAUGGUAGGGGCAGAGGGAAUUCCUGGUGUAGCGGUGAAAUGCGUAGAGAUCAGGAAGAACAUCGGUGGCGAAGGCGCUCUGCUGGACCAUAACUGACGCUGAUGCGCGAAAGCGAGGGGAGCAAACAGG